rnacentral:misc_RNA from 1 species
UCUCCGUGGGUGAACCAGCGGAGGGAUCAUUACCGAGUUUACAACUCCCAAACCCCUAUGUGAACGUUACCAAACUGUUGCCUCGGCGGGAAAUUCAUGCCCCGGGCGCGUCGCAGCCCCGGACCAAGGCGCCCGCCGGAGGACCAACCAAAACUCUUUUGUAUGUCCCUCGCGGACUUUUAUAAUUCUGAACCAUCUCGGCGCCCCUAGCGGGCGUUUCGAAAAUGAAUCAAAACUUUCAACAACGGAUCUCUUGGUUCUG